rnacentral:snoRNA from 1 species
GUGCAUCUAUUUGACAGACCCGAAGUAGUUACUGUCUGCGUCUACGGUUUCCAUUACAGAUGCAAGUAGAAAGUUUCCUUGUACUUUCUGUCUGAUUGUGGCAGCCAAGACUGAGUAAGGGGGGGGAGAC